GAUGAAGAACGCAGCGAAAUGCGAUAAGUAAUGUGAAUUGCAGAAUCCAGUGAAUCAUCGAAUCUUUGAACGCACAUUGCGCCCCCUGGUAUUCCGGGGGGCAUGCCUGUUCGAGCGUCAUUUCACCACUCAAGCCUCGCUUGGUAUUGGGCAACGCGGUCCGCCGCGUGCCUCAAAUCGACCGGCUGGGUCUUCUGUCCCCUAAGCGUUGUGGAAACUAUUCGCUAAAGGGUGUUCGGGAGGCUACGCCGUAAAACAACCCCAUUUCUAAGGUUGACCUCGGAUCAGGUAGGGAUACCCGCUGAACUUAAGCAUAUCAAUAAGCGGAGGA
rnacentral:misc_RNA from 1 species